rnacentral:tRNA from 1 species
UGCGGGGUGGAGCAGCGGCAGCUCGCGUGACUCAUAAUCACGAGGUCGUAGGUUCGAGUCCUACCCCCGCAACCA